rnacentral:rRNA from 1 species
CCUACGGGUGGCAGCAGUGGGGAAUAUUGGACAAUGGGGGGAACCCUGAUCCAGCCAUGCCGCGUGUGUGAAGAAGGCCCUCGGGUUGUAAAGCACUUUCAGUGAGGAAGAACGCCUGGUGGUUAAUACCCAUCAGGAAAGACAUCACUCACAGAAGAAGCACCGGCUAACUCCGUGCCAGCAGCCGCGGUAAUACGGAGGGUGCGAGCGUUAAUCGGAAUUACUGGGCGUAAAGCGCGCGUAGGUGGCUUGAUAAGCCGGUUGUGAAAGCCCCGGGCUCAACCUGGGAACGGCAUCCGGAACUGUCAAGCUAGAGUGCAGGAGAGGAAGGUAGAAUUCCCGGUGUAGCGGUGAAAUGCGUAGAGAGCGGGAGGAAUACCAGUGGCGAAGGCGGCCUUCUGGACUGACACUGACACUGAGGUGCGAAAGCGUGGGUAGCAAACAGGAUUAGAUACCCUGGUAGUC